AGGACGAACGCUGGCGGCGUGCUUAACACAUGCAAGUCGAGCGGUAAGGCCCUUUCGGGGGUACACGAGCGGCGAACGGGUGAGUAACACGUGAGCAAUCUGCCCUUCACUUCGGGAUAAGCCUCGGAAACGGGGUCUAAUACCGGAUAUGACUGCGCCAUGCAUGUGGUGUGGUGGAAAGUUCUGGCGGUGAGGGAUGAGCUCGCGGCCUAUCAGCUUGUUGGUGGGGUAAUGGCCUACCAAGGCUUCGACGGGUAGCCGGCCUGAGAGGGUGACCGGCCACA
rnacentral:rRNA from 1 species